rnacentral:rRNA from 1 species
ACAUAAGUAACGAUAAAGCGGGUGAAAAGCCCGCUCGCCGGAAGACCAAGGGUUCCUGUCCAACGUUAAUCGGGGCAGGGUGAGUCGACCCCUAAGGCGAGGCCGAAAGGCGUAGUCGAUGGGAAACAGGUUAAUAUUCCUGUACUUGGUGUUACUGCGAAGGGGGGACGGAGAAGGCUAUGUUGGCCGGGCGACGGUUGUCCCGGUUUAAGCGUGUAGGCUGGUUUUCCAGGCAAAUCCGGAAAAUCAAGGCUGAGGCGUGAUGACGAGGCACUACGGUGCUGAAGCAACAAAUGCCCUGCUUCCAGGAAAAGCCUCUAAGCAUCAGGUAACAUCAAAUCGUACCCCAAACCGACACAGGUGGUCAGGUAGAGAAUACCAAGGCGCUUGAGAGAACUCGGGUGAAGGAACUAGGCAAAAUGGUGCCGUAACUUCGGGAGAAGGCACGCUGAUAUGUAGGUGAAGUCCCUCGCGGAUGGAGCUGAAAUCAGUCGAAGAUACCAGCUGGCUGCAACUGUUUAUUAAAAACACAGCACUGUGCAAACACGAAAGUGGACGUAUACGGUGUGACGCCUGCCCGGUGCCGGAAGGUUAAUUGAUGGGGUUAGCGCAAGCGAAGCUCUUGAUCGAAGCCCCGGUAAACGGCGGCCGUAACUAUAACGGUCCUAAGGUAGCGAAAUUCCUUGUCGGGUAAGUUCCGACCUGCACGAAUGGCGUAAUGAUGGCCAGGCUGUCUCCACCCGAGACUCAGUGAAAUUGAACUCGCUGUGAAGAUGCAGUGUACCCGCGGCAAGACGGAAAGACCCCGUGAACCUUUACUAUAGCUUGACACUGAACAUUGAGCCUUGAUGUGUAGGAUAGGUGGGAGGCUUUGAAGUGUGGACGCCAGUCUGCAUGGAGCCGACCUUGAAAUACCACCCUUUAAUGUUUGAUGUUCUAACGUGGACCCGUAAUCCGGGUUGCGGACAGUGUCUGGUGGGUAGUUUGACUGGGGCGGUCUCCUCCUAAAGAGUAACGGAGGAGCACGAAGGUUGGCUAAUCCUGGUCGGACAUCAGGAGGUUAGUGCAAUGGCAUAAGCCAGCUUGACUGCGAGCGUGACGGCGCGAGCAGGUGCGAAAGCAGGUCAUAGUGAUCCGGUGGUUCUGAAUGGAAGGGCCAUCGCUCAACGGAUAAAAGGUACUCCGGGGAUAACAGGCUGAUACCGCCCAAGAGUUCAUAUCGACGGCGGUGUUUGGCACCUCGAUGUCGGCUCAUCACAUCCUGGGGCUGAAGUAGGUCCCAAGGGUAUGGCUGUUCGCCAUUUAAAGUGGUACGCGAGCUGGGUUUAGAACGUCGUGAGACAGUUCGGUCCCUAUCUGCCGUGGGCGCUGGAGAACUGAGGGGGGCUGCUCCUAGUACGAGAGGACCGGAGUGGACGCAUCACUGGUGUUCGGGUUGUCAUGCCAAUGGCACUGCCCGGUAGCUAAAUGCGGAAGAGAUAAGUGCUGAAAGCAUCUAAGCACGAAACUUGCCCCGAGAUGAGUUCUCCCUGACUCCUUGAGAGUCCUGAAGGAACGUUGAAGACGACGACGUUGAUAGGCCGGAUGUGUAAGCGCAGCGAUGCGUUGAGCUAACCGGUACUAAUGAACCGUGAGGCUUAACCUU